rnacentral:rRNA from 1 species
AACGAACGCUGGCAGCGUGCCUAACACAUGCAAGUCGAACGAGAAAGUCCCUUCGGGGGCGAGUAAAGUGGCAUACGGGUGAGUAAUGCAUAGAUAAUCUGCCUUGAAAUGGGGGAUAACUUCGCGAAAGCGGGGCUAAUACCGCAUAUGACCACGUCCCGGCUAGGGGAUGAGGUGAAAGGUGCCCUCUACUUGUAAGGUGCCGUUUUAAGAUGAGUCUAUGUACCAUUAGCUAGUUGGUAGGGUAAUGGCCUACCAAGGCUGAGAUGGUUAGCUGGUCUGAGAGGACGACCAGCCACACUGGAACUGGGACACGGUCCAGACUCCUACGGGAGGCAGCAGUGGGGGAUAUUGCACAAUGGGGGAAACCCUGAUGCAGCGACGCUGCGUGAGCGAUGAAGGCCUUCGGGUUGUAAAGCUCUGUCAAUUGGGGCGAAGAUUAAUAUGUUAACAGCAUGUUGAUUUGACAGUACCAAUAAAGGAAACACCGGCUAACUCUGUGCCAGCAGCCGCCGUAA